GGACCCGCACAAGCAGCGGAGCAUGUCGUUUAAUUCGAUGCAACACGGAAAACCUUACCAAGGCUUGACAUUGAGUGCAUAGCGUGGAAACACGUGAAUUUGGUUAGCAAUAAUCAACACUUAAACAGAUGGUGCAUGGUUGUCGUCAGCUCGUGUCGUGAGAUGUUGGGUUAAGUCCCAUAACGAGCGCAACCCCUAUGAAUAGUUGCCAGUAUUAAGUUAGGAACUCUAUUCAGACUGCCGUAGAUAAUACGGAGGAAGGUGGGGACGAUGUCAAAUCAUCAUGCCUCUUACGCCUUGGGCUACAGACGUGCUACAAUGGCCGUUACAAAGAGAUGCGAUAUGGUAACAUGGAGCAAACCUCAAAAAAGCGGUCUCAGUUCAGAUUGAGGGCUGCAACCCGCCCUCAUGAAGAUGAAGUUGCUAGUAAUCGCGAAUCAGCAUGUCG
rnacentral:rRNA from 1 species